UUACUGUGUUUCAGCUGCUCUAUGAACAUGGAUCAGCAGCUAUUGCCAAACACUUUCUUGGCUGCUAAUAGCACUUUUUUCCCCUUCUUUGUGUGGCUGGUAGUAGGUAUUUAAGACAGCAACAGCAAAUCAGAGGCGAGUUCCUAGCACCAAGAUGCCUUCUUCGCCUCAAAAGAGUCCGACACAAAUUCCGUAACAAACAAUUUCCUUGGUUUUCUCAACACAGAAGGAAAAAGAACGCUCUCAAUUUUUGACGAUUAUCGUUAGGAUAAAAACGCAAUCGUCCAUUCUUUGCUGGAAAUGCUACUGUGAGGGGGAAAUGCGAAUAAUUUCUUGCAAACAAGAAAAUGACUCAGGGUGGGUCCAGGAAAGGACAUGUCAGUCAUACCUUCCCUGGUGCAUCCCUUCUGCAGCAGAAUGCUGCAGGUCGGGGAAGGUCACACCCAGCCCUCUGAUGCAUGCCAAGGAGACGCGGAGCCACUCGCGCACGCGGGCACGGGGCAGGCGUCAAACCCGCGAUCGGCUUGCGAGCGUCCACGCGCUCGGUCCCCUGGGUUCCCCUGACUGAAGGAACACAUCACUCCUCGCUAAGUGGAAGUCUCACUCACCUCCCGUCCCAUAACAAUGUCACCAGACCUGUACAGCUCACCCAUCUGUUAGUUAUUUUGGGGGAAAGACAUGACAGUCCUGCGGAAAGUACACAGGAAGUACAUUAGGUAUCAGUCCUUGUUGUCUCUGCCUUUUCAGCUUAGGAGUAAGUUGCCCUGCUCUAACUGGCCCUCCGCAUUGUUAAAGUGUACGGCGUUCCAGUAUAAAACAGACUCCAAAUCUAAAUGACACUUCACACUAAACACAAGUGUGGAAAACUGUAUGAAAUAUUCAAAUAAAGGACAGCGGGAAAGGAAAAAGACAAGAGAAAACAGGUCUUUCUGGCAGGCUGAAAGGGAGUUAUUAGCAGGGGUUGGAGUGCUUAAAUUAUAUUUACAGUAUUUGCCUUUCUAUGUUAUAAUAUAUGCAAAAGCAUAAAGCACCUCUUUAUUUUAAAAAAAGGCUGCACCAGCUGGUUCUCAGCACAGAGAUGGGAUGAAGAGGGUUAAACAACAGUAGCAACGGGUAGUGUUUUAGUAUGCAAGCUUUGCCAUGAAACCUAGCCUCAGCGCUUACACUAAUUAUUUUUUUAGCCAGCCGUGUGUGCCGAAUUUGCCUGCUAGUCGUGCAAAUGCUUAUUUGAACUGUACAACUGACAUGCAUAUGGUUUUCAUCAUCAUAAAAUAAGUGUUUGGGGAUGUGUUUUUAUGAUGCCGAAGCUGUCCUCCGGCUGACAAGUGUGGGCUGAGCGGCCUUCCUGCCGCUUUUUUACGCAACGUUCUGAAAGUUUGAGCGAUAAAUGUAACAGCUUUACUCUACUGUGCACUGCUUUGUUUCCGUAUUUGUGAUUUGUUUUCCAAUAAAAAAAACAUAAAAUAAAGGAACAUUUAGAAGUUUACAUUUUUAUAAUCCUGUGUAGCAAAAUGUGAUCGCCCAAUAGUGAAUAAAAGUCUUUUGCAUUUAUGAAUAAA